CGUACCUCUGUAUAGUCAGCUGUUUCUUGGCAGAUUCUACAACAGCACAUACUGGAACGUGAUGACCAGGCUGGCAGAGGGAGAAGAAACUUCCUCGGGCUCAGGUUGAUUCGUUAUUCCCACGUGUUGUUUCUGAGAUCAUUACCCUAGCAACAACCUUUUACCCUAGCAACCUUCUUCAUGGCAACCCCCACAGAGCCUUCCUGUAAGCCCAGUUGCAUCCAGUUUGCAGCUGCCAAAGAUGUUACCUCUGCCUCAGAGUUCUCAUCCUAGGCUGCGGUUUUUGAAAGAUUCCCAUCUCUCCGGUUUUCAGCCAGCAUUCUUAGGGUGGUAGCUGCUUCAGAAAUUUUGUCUCCAUGAUGAGAUGAGUGGAGGGGAAAGAAGGUUUGUCAUUGCUCUUUAGGUUUUUUUGUUGCUGAGUAAGUGAAAAGAAAUGGAAAAUGAGGUUCUUCCAAUUUCAAACUGUUUCAAUAUGGUUACUCACAUGCCCUACAGAGAAUUCCAGAAGGCAUGAACCCAGUCACAAAUCGCUACACAUCAGCAUUUUGCAUAAAAAGAAAACAUCCAUAUCUGACUCAAGCAACAAUGAAAUCAAUACAGAAACAUUUCCAGAGAAGUCCUGCAGGUUUUUUAUGCAUUUACAGCUACUAUUUCCUGCAAAAAAUCUUCUGACUGUUUAAUAAAUCAACUUUAGAUCCACAA